AAAGUCGUAACAAGGUUUCCGUAGGUGAACCUGCGGAAGGAUCAUUACCAAAUCCAAAACUUCAAUCAACACCCAAAGUGAACUGUGAAUGGUUUCGUUCCCUCUUCUCCUGCUCUGUGUGCCUGCACGCGUGCGUGUGGGAGGAGGGAAUGUUUACAAUUUUUCCAACCCCUUUUCAACCUAUACAAUACCUUUCUCAAUGCUGAAAGCAAAACAAAAAACGAAACAUGAGACAACUUUUAACGGUGGAUCUCUUGGCUCGU
rnacentral:misc_RNA from 1 species